UACGAAGGGGGCUAGCGUUGCUCGGAAUCACUGGGCGUAAAGCGCACGUAGGCGGCUAUUUAAGUCGGUGGUGAAAUCCUGGAGCUCAACUCCAGAACUGCCUCCGAUACUGAAUGUCUUCGAGUCCGGGAGAGGUGAGUGGAACUGCGAGUGUAGAGGUGAAAUUCGUAGAUAUUCGCAAGAACACCAGUGGCGAAGGCGGCUCACUGGCCCGGUACUGACGCUGAGGUGCGAAAGCGUGGGGAGCAAACAGG
rnacentral:rRNA from 1 species